rnacentral:rRNA from 1 species
UACUUAGUGGCAGACGGGUGAGUAACAUGUAGGUAUCUGCUCUUUGGCCUGGAAUAACACGAGGAAACUUGUGCUAAUACCGGAUAAGUCUUUACGGAGAAAGCUUUAUGCACCAUUGGAUGAGCCUGCACUUGAUUAGUUUGUUGGUAGGGUAAUGGCCUACCAAGACUGUGAUCAAUAGCUGAUUUGAGAGGAUGAUCAGCCACAUUGGGACUGAGACACGGCCCAAACUCCUACGGGAGGCAGCAGUGGGGAAUCUUGCACAAUGGAGGAAACUCUGAUGCAGCGAUGCCGCGUGAGUGAAGAAGGCCUUUGGGUUGUAAAGCUCUUUCGUCGGGGAAGAAAAUGACUGUACCCGAAUAAGAAGGUCCGG